AGUGAACGCUGGCGGUAGGCCUAACACAUGCAAGUCGAACGGCAGCACAGUAAGAGCUUGCUCUUACGGGUGGCGAGUGGCGGACGGGUGAGGAAUACAUCGGAAUCUACUUUUUCGUGGGGGAUAACGUAGGGAAACUUACGCUAAUACCGCAUACGACCUACGGGUGAAAGCAGGGGAUCUUCGGACCUUGCGCGAUUGAAUGAGCCGAUGUCGGAUUAGCUAGUUGGCGGGGUAAAGGCCCACCAAGGCGACGAUCCGUAGCUGGUCUGAGAGGAUGAGCAGCCACCCUGGAACUGAGACACGGUCCAGACUACUACGGGAGGCAGCAGUGGGGAAUAUUGGACAAGGGGCGCAAGCCUGAUCCAGCCAUACCGCGUGGGUGAAGAAGGCCUUCGGGUUGUAAAGCCCUUUUGUUGGGAAAGAAAAGCAGCAGGUUAAUACCCCGCUGUUCUGACGGUACCCAAAGAAUAAGCACCGGCUAACUUCGUG
rnacentral:rRNA from 1 species